UGGGGAAUAUUGCACAAUGGGCGCAAGCCUGAUGCAGCCAUGCCGCGUGUGUGAAGAAGGCCUUCGGGUUGUAAAGCACUUUCAGCGGGGAGGAAGGCGAUAAGGUUAAUAACCUUGUCGAUUGACGUUACCCGCAGAAGAAGCACCGGCUAACUCCGUGCCAGCAGCCGCGGUAAUACGGAGGGUGCAAGCGUUAAUCGGAAUUACUGGGCGUAAAGCGCACGCAGGCGGUCUGUCAAGUCGGAUGUGAAAUCCCCGGGCUCAACCUGGAAACUGCAUUCGAAACUGGAAGGCUAGAGUCUUGUAGAGGGGGGUAGAAUUCCAGGUGGAGCGGUGAAAUGCGUAGAGAUCUGGAGGAAUACCGGUGGCGAAGGCGGCCCCCUGGACAAAGACUGACGCUCAGGUGCGAAAGAGUGGGGAGCAAACAGG
rnacentral:rRNA from 1 species